AAUCAACGCUGGCGGCGUGCCUAACACAUGCAAGUCGAACGCGAAAGCCCCUUCGGGGGGUAAGUAGAGUGGCGUCCGGGUGAGUAACACGUAGGUAAUCUACCUUCGGGUGGGGAAUAACUCGCCGAAAGGCGAGCUAAUACCGCAUAAUGCAGCGGCACCUAAUGGUGAUUAGUUGUUAAAGCGGGGGAUCGUAAGACCUCGCGCCUGAAGAGGAGCCUGCGGCAGAUUAGCUAGUUGGGAGGUAAUGGCUCACCAAGGCUUCGAUCUGUAGCUGGUCUGAGAGGACGGCCAGCCACACUGGCACUGACACACGGGCCAGACUCCUACGGAGGCAGCAGUGGGGAAUUUUGGGCAAUGGGCGC
rnacentral:rRNA from 1 species